CGCUCGCACUCGCCCCGCCCACCUCCUCCUGUUCCUCCCGCCUCGCCUCACUCUCCCUCCAAACCCCGCCUCCCUGUACACGCCGCCAUCAUCUCCUUCGUCCGGCCGGCGACCCAUGCCGCGCCCGUCUGCUCCGCCCGCGCUCGCGCCGCCCCCUCUCCUGUUCCUCCUGCCUCAUCUCUCUCUCUCUCCCUCCUAACCCUAACCCAUGCCCACUUUCCUGUGCCGCCACCGGCCAUGCUGCUCUGGGUCGCGCGCCGCCGCGUUGCUCCGCUCCACGACGCUCCCCCGAGCCUCCUCCCUGUCCUCCAGGCCCACUCUCCCGCACAGCUCGCCCGCUCCUUCCUCCCAGUGACCACGGCGGCGCAUCAGCGGCCGGUCCACCGCGGGCUGCUUCUCCACCACCAUGCACCUGCCCCGCGUAUGCUUCUUCUCUCCCAGGAGUGGGCCGCAGCCAUGGAGAGCGGCCAGAGGAGCAUGGACGGCCAUCCCCUGCCUCCUCUCCAGCACGUGGCAAACUCAAGUUACUGACUUACUACAUAGUUGAAGAGACCACAUUACAUGUCAAUGGUACUCGUGCAAGCGUGGCUCCCUCCUCCAGUUGCUCAUCGCCCUCAUCUUCCCCAUUAGAAAUCUACUACCUAGGAGUACAUGGAACAUUGGUUCUACGUUCUACCUCAGUUGCGCUUUUUUAUUAGAAAUCAAGAGGCCUGUUUAUUAUUUUCAUUGAUGGGGAAAGCUUUGCAGCUGUAGAACAUAGUAUGAUUUAGCACUUCCGAGCAGUCAAGGGAGUUAGGUAGCAUAAAUCACAUCUUUCAUGAAUUGACGUGCAUCACUUUGGAGCGGGGUGGCUAAUAAAUCAGGUAGUGAUGCUGCCUGAUAUUGUUCUGUACACUCCUGCAUCAUUAAGUUUUCCAGGCAACAACAGCAUAAUGCUGAUAACGAAAGGAUAGGUGUAGGUUCAGACAGCUUAGGGUAUAGAGAAGUUGCUUUCAGGGUUGUAGUUGGAACAUGGGACCAUUGUUUGAUAUUGUGUCGUUGUCGAGUGGAAAAUUUGAUAUUGGUCACAGCCAAACAGAAAAAGGCACCACAUGUCCUUGUAAUAGAUGAUCUAUGUAUUCAAUUGGCUGAUGCAAUAAGCUGCUUCCUGGUUGAUCUUAAAUUAGUCAAUCGAUGGUAGUGAACUGGCAGCGACGAAUUGGAUUGGUUUGAUAUAUGGAUCCAUGUGUACUUGCUGAUCUUUGACUAGCCAGUGCCAGUCCUUUCUGAUGUUUCCAGGUCCCAUGCGCUUUCGUUGAAAUUUGUAGGAGAUAAUUUGAUUUAUUAUAGAAGUACAACGGCUGCUGUUGGAUCCCAUGCCUGAAGGCUGAGUGAAUUUGAAUAUAUAUAUUUGUCUUCUAGGCUUUUAAUUGACUCUGAUGAAGUAGUAGUACAGUCCAGUCUGAAAUUUUUGGUAAAUAUGCUCUCUGAAAGUUGGAUCUUUACUACUGUCAAGUCUGAUUUGUCAAUGAAAACCAGUAACUACUGAAGUCAAAAUUCAGUAAGCUUUGUCAAUGUCAAAAUUGUCGAAACUAUUCUUACCAGGCCCACAAAACUUUAGCUGGGCUCUACCCAUUUACGGGAGAAGUGCAACAGGCAAGGAUACAAAGUGAGAUCGGAUUGACAUUGAAAACCAGUAACUACUGAAGUCAAAAUUCAGUAAGCUUUGUCAAUGUCAAAAUUGUCGAAACUAUUCUUACCAGGCCCACAAAACAUUAGCUGGGCUCUACCCAUUUACGGGAGAAGUGCAACAGGCAAGGAUACAAAGUGAGAGUGCUCAGUUUUCCCCUUUCCAUGGUGCCACGCCUCGAUCUGCUGCUCCCAGCCACAGCAACCUCUAAUCGAUCGAGGAACGAGUCCUGUGGACGUUGAUCAAUCUUCGACCGUGUUCGGGCACUUGCAGCAACCACAUUAUAAAAGGAUCGACGAGGAGCGAUCUGCUAUGCAUCAGUGGCGAUGAAGGUAAAAUUCGAAUAUAUCCUCCUACAGUACUUUUGUAUUACCUGUGAUGGACGUCACAGAUCACCUAUUUUAACUCUGGCAAGUACCCGAUGAUAUAUGAUGCCACCAACUCUUGUGAUGUACCGUGUAAACUACCGUGUGAUCACCUAUUCUGACUCUGAUGAUUAGAUAGACUCAAUGCAAGGUGGUUUUGCUUCUUUCUACAAAUUUCAUAUAUUUUUUCUCUUGCAUAUACCCUGCUAAGCAAAUAACUAAUUAUGGUUGCAUGAUAAAAUCAUGGAAAAGGAAGUUAAACAGGAUAAUUAUCGUUGUUGCGAAGUGGAUAAACAGAAAAGAUGUGUUGUGUAUAUGCCAUAUUUUCCUUCUCUGGAUUUCAAGGUUGUGCCAUAUAGAACAGCUAUAAACCUACAAUGUCUAGCUUCUCCCUUAUACAUGAGAGCUAAUUCUUGCUAUUUAUUUGCUACCCCGGUUGAUUGCGAGAGCGUGUGAUAUGAUGAUGGCAUGAGGAAUGGAGAGCUGUAAUUUCUAACGGUUGAAUUUCACAUUUGUACUCUUAAAACUUGUGGUUAGUAAAGCAAGCUACUUUGUUCUAUUUAUUUCAAACAUAUCUAUUAUUCACUAAGGCUCCUGCCUACUUUCAUACUGACGUUGUGUCUAAAACUGAGCCUCCUCUUAACUCUCUCUGUAGUAAAUGAAGCCCAGAGGUGGAGGGAUUUGGAUGUUGCAAAGUUUACCAGUAUUACUAUUUAAAUAUCAUGAACCUUAUUGUGCAUAAAAAAUGACAGAAAAUAGGACUACUUCAGAGUACACAUUUUAAAUUUACCUGUAUUAUCAUGUAAAUAUUUAUUUUAUUAAGAGUUUGAAUUUUUAGGAGAACACCUCAUGUUCAACCACUUUCAUUUCCCUUCAUUCUUAGUUUCUUACUAAUGGUCGCUCGAUGGUGCUAAUUGGCUUAUGUGGUUAUAGAUGGUGAGUAUUACAGUAUUAGGAAGGCUCGCAUCACCAUUAUUUUAAGGAAGUUUAAUCCAUGUAUGUUUUGGCCAUGUAAUUUGAAAUUCUUAGCUGCAUGGAAGUGGUACCUUUUAGUUCUUUGUGCUGCUUACAAAAAUAAUCAUCAUUGGGCUGUAAAUUUGACUGCACAACCUAAGCUGAUUUUCGGUAUUUUUCUUCUUGGUAAGCUUUCAGUUAUAUUGGCAAAAAAAUUGAUUGAAGGUUUCAAAUAUAUUACACCGGAACUAUUUCAAUAUUGCUAUUGAAAUUUUCCUUGUGGAAGUACUUGGAAGGAAGAUUCUUGCCUAGUUCAACUUUAAUAUUCUUGAAGGACACAUCAAAGAUAUCUGGAUGCUGCAAAUUUAUAUGAGUUACACAUGGUAGACAAGGUUAAUGUCCAGAUAUUGUGUAGUCUUUGCCCCUUCUCUAGAAGGGGUAUAUGCUCGAAAAUUGUAUUAUCUUUUGUCCAGACUCAAAUUUUAUAUGGCUGCUUGAUCUUUGGUUAGAAUUUAUUCCCGGUGAUCGUGUCUCACUAAGUUACCUCUGUUGAAAUUGAAAAAUGUAUGAAUGCAAAAAUGGUUUAUCAAAUCCAUGCUGAUUGCAAGACAUGCUUGUAUUUAAAAAGCAAUCAUCUUUUCACAUAUACAAAACUUUGUAAGCUUUGAGUUGCUGGUUUUGGAACCGCUUCUGUUUUUGUUUUACUGUACUCCUCUCGAUACAGAUGCUACUUCGAACUCUCAAGUUUCUAUUUUUGUUGCAUAGUUCACCGUUUGCAGACCAGUUGUUUGGCUGUCCUUUUAAUCAAAACUUCUGUUAUGUUUGGAGGCGAGUCUGCAUUGGUCUCAUCCUGAUGGAAUUCAUUACAUGGUGGGAAUGUUAAGAGCGGGGACCUUAUAUUUAGAAACAGCAAGGUGAUCCAUUUGUUGGUUUGUGCACACCUUCCUGUUAGGUUGUUUUCAGAAAUUAUUGGCAGUGAUGAUCUGAAAAAUCCCGGAUGUUUUAAAUUGUCUAAACUCUUCAGCCUAUGUGUGCCUGCUGUCUUUGCUUGUUUGCUCCUUUAGCUUGAAGAAGCGCUGCACUUGACUGGCGAGCUCGCUGAGAAAGAAAAGUUGUCACAGCGUGAUGAAAAGAUCGAUGCAUGCAAAAAGGUCUAAACCAUAUCUAUUCCUGGGCAAGAAGGGCACGAAGUAACACUUUGUCCUAGGAUAGUAUCUUUUGGUGAUUUAGGCGCCUUUUGGAAAAUAUAGAUAUCUGUUACAUGUGUUGGAGGUUUGCAGCUUAUACAUGCAUGCCCUGAAUCUGGUUCCUCGAGGUGAAAUGGUUGGUCGAAAGCAUGUGUACAACUUCCUUCAAAGAGCUUCUGCACCUCGUGUUUCAGUUUUGGUCACGUUUAUAUCCCUGUGUAGAAGGUCGCAGAGCCUUGGUACCCCUUGUAUGUUCUGUUGAAAGAAGUUGUCAUAUAUAACGAUUGAUUAACAGGACGAAGAUUCUCCGCCGCUGUUUGGAGGACGUCAGACCUGGGAGCAGAGGGAGGAAAGCUUUAAAUUGAACGCUACCAUGAAGGGCUGCAGUAACAACUAAGCAUCCGAUAUAUAAUAACAUCAUGAAAGGGGCACGAAGCGGCGAUCCAAUAUACACCGGCGAUGAAGGAAGUGGGGAUGGACAUUCAUGGAUCUGUCGUCCCUGAUUUGCUUUGGGGAGGUCCGGCACCCUCGCGCCAAGGCGCACUGCCGAUCUAGUUGUGAUGAGGGCGGAGAACGGUGGGCUUGGAUUGGCCUCCUUUGGUCGUGACGUGCUCCACCUGUGGUCAGCUGAGACGGGUCCUGACGGAGAUGUCAAGUGGGCGCAGAUGAACCACAUCCAUCUCGGGAAGCUGAUGCCUUUCAAGAGCCCAGCACGUUUGAUUGGAUUUGCCGAAGACAUCAAUGCCGUUUUUGUGAGCUCAGAUGACCAUGGCAUCUUCACUGUUGAGCUCAAGUCAUUGCUGACGAAGAAGGUGUGCGAGAUGGGCAAGGUCAAGGAUUUUUUUUCCUUACGUCUGCUACUACACUCCAGCUGCUUGUGCUAUUGCUAGGGGCACGCUGCCAGCACCUGUGGCCCCUUAGUGAUCUCUACAAGCCAUUUGAAGAUAUGACGUGGUAAGUCAGCAAAUGUGAUGGACGGAUCCAUCAUUUUGCAGUCCUGAUGCUUCUUCAGAGUUCCAGUUAUUGCUUUUCUCACGAGGAAGUUUUUCCUUGGUAUCUUGAUCAAUUAGUAUUCUGUUCAUCGAGCCCUCUUGAAGUAGACUUGAAAAACAAAGUUUCAAUUUACCACGAACAAUAUAAAUAUGUAUCAGCUCACUAUCUUGGUGCAUAAGCUAUUUUUCAGUCG